GGGCAGUAACUGAUGCUCUGCUGCCCUCUUGUGUUUACUUAAAUUUACUUUAGUGUUAGUAUUACAGAAUUAUAUUAAGUUGCUGUUUGUAUGGACUCAAGGUAAAUGCAGCUUUAAAUGUAGCGCGGUCACUGAUAGGCUGCUGCAGCUGCUGGCAGUCUGAUUGACAGGCGAUCUGACCAAUCGUCACGCGUUGUUAUGUGCCUCCGUUGCUGUCCGCCAUUUAAUCCGACAAACAAAACAGUCCGACAACAAGCAUGUCAGGCGUAGUGAACUAACUAACUUGGAAAAUGGUGAAAAGGUGCACGUAUGUGGCUUGCAACGCAGACAGCAGGUACCCAGAAAGGCUGGGCGACAUACAGUUUCACCCGUUCCCUAAACCUGCCAGAAAUCUGCAGAAGUGUAUGAAGUGGAUAAGUUUGUGUGGCCGGCCUCAGCAGCAGCUCUGUGACAGGCUGAGAAACCAUUCCACAGCCAAACACAUCUAUGUGUGCUCAAAGCACUUCGUUGACGGCCGGCCGACACCUGCUCACCCCGAUCCUCUGCCAGCAUUGAUAGAUAACUGUAGUAUGUUGCGAACCGUGUCUGUGCCACCAAGAGAAGGACUACGAGAUGACCGCAAACCACACAAUGCUGAAAACAUCAGGUGUGAUCUACAAGGCGUUUCCAUUGUUAUUAAAAAAGAGAUGGUAGCAGAAUCAAUCAUGGAAGAUACCACUACAGAGGAGAGCACUAUGGUCAUUAAAAUGGGUAUGUGUUUUGUUGUUUGUUACAGUGAUCUCUCUAAUAGGGAUGGG
rnacentral:lncRNA from 1 species